AGGAGUUUGAUCCUGGCUCAGAACGAACGCUGGCGGCGUGCUUAAGACAUGCAAGUCGUGCGAGAAAGUCACCUUCGGGUGGCGAGUAGAGCGGCGCACGGGUGAGUAACGCGUGGGUAAUCUGCCCAAAGGUCUGGGAUAACUCCGGGAAACUGGUGCUAAUACCGGAUAAGACCACGAAGUCUUCGGACUUUGCGGAAAAAGGUAGCCUCUCCUUGGAAGCUAGUGCCUUUGGAUGAGCCCGCGUCCCAUUAGCUUGUUGGUAGGGUAACGGCCUACCAAGGCUUCGAUGGGUAGCUGGUCUGAGAGGAUGAUCAGCCACACUGGAACUGAGACACGGUCCAGACUCCUACGGGAGGCAGCAGUCGGGAAUUUUGGGCAAUGGGCGAAAGCCUGACCCAGCAACGCCGCGUGAGGGAUGAAGGCCUUCGGGUCGUAAACCUCUGUCGAGAGGGAAGAACUGUCAGCGGUCCAAUAGGCCGCUGAUUUGACGGUACCUCCAAAGGAAGCUCCGGCUAACUCCGUGCCAGCAGCCGCGGUAAUACGGAGGGAGCAAGCGUUGUUCGGAAUCAUUGGGCGUAAAGCGGGUGUAGGUGGCUUGGAAAGUCGGAUGUGAAAUCCCAGGGCUCAACCCUGGAACUGCAUUCGAAACUUCCUGGCUAGAGUCCCGGAGAGGAAGGCAGAAUUCCCGGUGUAGAG
rnacentral:rRNA from 1 species